UACAGGGGGUGCAAACGUUGCUCGGAAUCAUUGGGCGUAAAGCGCACGUAGGCGGUCUGUUAUGUCGGAUGUGAAAUCCCGGGGCUCAACCUCGGAACUGCCUUUGAUACUGCAAAUCUCGAGUCCGGAAGAGGUGAGUGGAAUUCCUAGUGUAGAGGUGAAAUUCGUAGAUAUUAGGAAGAACACCAGUGGCGAAGGCGGCUCACUGGUCCGGUACUGACGCUGAGGUGCGAAAGCGUGGGGAGCAAACAGG
rnacentral:rRNA from 1 species